rnacentral:rRNA from 1 species
AUUGAACGCUGGCGGCAGGCCUAACACAUGCAAGUCGAGCGAGCGGCGGACGGGUGAGUAAUGUCUGGGGAUCUGCCCGAUAGAGGGGGAUAACUACUGGAAACGGUAGCUAAUCCCGCAUACCAUCGGAUGAGCCCAUAUGGGAUUAGCUAGUAGGUGGGGUAACGGCUCACCUAGGCGACGAUCCCUAGCUGGUCUGAGAGGAUGAGAAGCCACAGUGGGACUGAGAAACGGCCAAGAGUCCUACGGGAGGCAGCAGUGGGGAAUAUGGCACAAGGGGGGCAAGCCUGAUGCAGCCAGGCCGCGUGUAUGAAGAAGGCGUUAGGGUUGUAAAGUACUUUCAGCGGGGAGGCGUUACCCGCAGAAGAAGCACCGGCUAACUCCGUGCCAGCAGCCGCGGUAAUAC